CAAGUCGAACGCGGUUACCCCGCAAGGGGUAACUGAGUGGCGAACGGGUGAGUAACACGUGGGUGACCUACCUUCGAGUGGGGGAUAACGUCCCGAAAGGGACGCUAAUACCGCAUAACAUCCUGUCCUUGAACGGAUGGAGAUCAAAGCCGGGGAUCGUAAGACCUGGCGUUUGAAGAGGGGCCCGCGUCUGAUUAGCUAGUUGGUGAGGUAACGGCUCACCAAGGCGACGAUCAGUAUCCGGCCUGAGAGGGCGGACGGACACACUGGGACUGAGACACGGCCCAGACUCCUACGGGAGGCAGCAGUGGGGAAUUGUUCGCAAUGGGCGCAAGCCUGACGACGCAACGCCGCGUGGAGGAUGAAGGUCUUCGGAUUGUAAACUCCUGUUGCCCGGGACGAAAAGCUUCAACCUAAUACGUUGAAGUCUGACGGUACCGGGUGAGGAAGCCCCGGCUAACUCUGUGCCAGCAGCCGCGGUAAUACAGAGGGGGCAAGCGUUGUUCGGAAUUACUGGGCGUAAAGGGCGCGUAGGUGGCCUGCUAAGUCGAACGUGAAAUCCCUGGGCUCAACCCAGGAACUGCGUCCGAUACUGGUUGGCUUGAAUCCGGGAGAGGGAUGUGGAAUUCCAGGUGUAGCGGUGAAAUGCGUAGAUAUCUGGAGGAACACCGGUGGCGAAGGCGACAUCCUGGACCGGUAUUGACGCUGAGGCGCGAAAGCCAGGGGAGCAAACGGGAUUAGAUACCCCGGUAGUCCUGGCCCUAAACGAUGAAUGCUUGGUGUGGCGGGUAUCGAUCCCUGCCGUGCC
rnacentral:rRNA from 1 species